rnacentral:rRNA from 1 species
GACAGAGGUGCCAAGCGUUAGGCGGAAUCACUGGGCUUAAAGCGUGUGUAGGCGGAUCGUUAAGUACCUUGUGAAAUCCCACGGCUCAACCGUGGAACUGCUGGGUAUACUGGCGAUCUUGAGCCACCUAGGGGCGAGCGGAACAAGCGGUGGAGCGGUGAAAUGCGUUGAUAUCAUCAGGAACACCGGUGGCGAAGGCGGCUUUCUGGGUCUUACCUGACGCUGAGGAACGAAAGCUAGGGGAGCGAACGGG